GGGCGUUAAGUUGCAGGGUAUAGACCCGAAACCCGGUGAUCUAGCCAUGGGCAGGUUGAAGGUUGGGUAACACUAACUGGAGGACCGAACCGACUAAUGUUGAAAAAUUAGCGGAUGACCUGUGGCUGGGGGUGAAAGGCCAAUCAAACCGGGAGAUAGCUGGUUCUCCCCGAAAGCUAUUUAGGUAGCGCCUCGUGAAUUCAUCUCCGGGGGUAGAGCACUGUUUCGGCUAGGGGGCCAUCCCGGCUUACCAACCCGAUGCAAACUGCGAAUACCGGAGAAUGUUAUCACGGGAGACACACGGCGGGUGCUAACGUCCGUCGUGAAGAGGGAAACAACCCAGACCGCCAGCUAAGGUCCCAAAGUCAUGGUUAAGUGGGAAACGAUGUGGGAAGGCCCAGACAGCCAGGAUGUUGGCUUAGAAGCAGCCAUCAUUUAAAGAAAGCGUAAUAGCUCACUGGUCGAGUCGGCCUGCGCGGAAGAUGUAACGGGGCUAAACCAUGCACCGAAGCUGCGGCAGCGACGCUUAUGCGUUGUUGGGUAGCGA
rnacentral:rRNA from 1 species